ACCAAAGUCACAGUAAUAGUGGUCAAUUUCAUUAGUACAAAACACUAGGUUUGAGAUCUGUAAACAUGGGAUAACAAUUAUGAUGAAACUAAAAAUCCAGGAGGCCAAUAAUAAAUUCAUACAAAACUUGGGAGUCAUGAUGACUAUGUAUCUCAAUGGCUUGCAGAUGGCCACAUAGCGAUCAAAGGCCAUGAUCGCCAGGAGGAAAUUUUCUGUGGCUCCACAUGCAAAAUGGAAAUAAUAUUGAGACCAACAACCUGCAGGAGUUAUUGAU